rnacentral:rRNA from 1 species
UGGAGAAUAUUGCACAAUGGGGGAAACCCUGAUGCAGCAACGCCGCGUGCGGGAUGACGGCCUUCGGGUUGUAAACCGCUUUCAGCCAUGACGAAGCUUUUGUGACGGUAGUGGCAGAAGAAGCACCGGCUAACUACGUGCCAGCAGCCGCGGUGAUACGUAGGGUGCGAGCGUUGUCCGGAAUUAUUGGGCGUAAAGAGCUUGUAGGCGGUUUGUCGCGUCGAAAGUGUAAACUCAGUGCUUAACGCUGAGCCUGCUUUCGAUACGGGCUGACUAGAGGAAGGUAGGGGAGAAUGGAAUUCCCGGUGGAGCGGUGGAAUGCGCAGAUAUCGGGAGGAACACCAGUGGCGAAGGCGGUUCUCUGGACCUUUCCUGACGCUGAGAAGCGAAAGCGUGGGUAGCAAACAGG